AAUGUCUACCUUAGAAAGUGUAGAUUGAGACACGACUAUGACAUGCAGUACAUUGGACAGUGGCCAGAGCUGGUUUAGCCGUUCCUCCAUUUUCUUCUAUUCAACUUGUGCUCACCAUGGCUAUGGAGAUCACGGAAAAAAUUUCAAUGGAGCAAAAGCGUAUGCUCUUGUAUCUAAUACACACGCAGUGGGACCCACUGUGGGAGCACUAGAAUUUUUUUUUCCCACACCACAACCUCUGCAACCCUUUCCUCCCUCCUCUCUCUCUCUCUCUCUCUCUCUCUCCCCUACCCAACACCACCACCACGACCACCAUGAAAAUUAACCUUGUCUUUACUUCCUUCUCUAUCCUCAUCGUCCUCUUCGCGCCACACCGUAAUUUUGAAAACAGAGCCAAACCCUAACCCUCGACAUUGACACUUCCUUGUUCGAGAGGAUAUGUCAGUUUUGAGCCUCCAGAAAUCCCCCAAGGCUUUUUCGUUUUCUCCAUCCUCAACCUGUCCUUCGGCGUUAGGGUUCUGAUGGAUUCCAUAUGGGUGAAGAAAGAAAACAGGUGGAUUUUGGUUCUAAAAGGUCAAAGAAUGAGAUCAAACUUGGAAACGGCAAUUGUCAUAUAACCACACGCAACCUCUUAACAAAUUUGCAAAACCAGCAACGUUCGUGAGCAAGGACCUCUGAGAAUUCGCUAGACAUUGAAUCAGUUUUGAGAUUAAUGUUGAUGGUACUAGAGAUGGAAUAAUUUCAAGGGAUAUCAGAAGCCAGAGCCAUACCAGCUUCAUUUGCUAAUUUUUCCACUUUCCAAACUUUUUUAAUCAGGGUCUUGAUCUUGCUCUCUGGUUCAAAGGUUUAGAUGGACACCGGAAGCCGUGGUACGUUUGACCUCGGCUACUGCAUCCAUCUACUCAAGCUAAGAGGUCUUUUCCAAUGCGAUACAAACUCUUUUACCGUCAUUUCUUGAACAACUGCUUCGAGGUUCAGUCCAUGACUUCUUUUGCUAAGUUUGCCAAGUCUGUGAAGAAAAUGGUUCGGAUUAAAAAUGUUAAAACAGGGUCUGAGGGUAAAAUUAGGAAGGUCUGUGUUUUGGUGAAUGUAUAGAGUCUUAGCAAUAAUAUUAUUCUAUCGCAGCAAUAAUAUUAGAGAUAUUAAAAUGUUUAUUAAAUUUAUUUAUUAAAUGAUGUGAUUUUGGAUGUGAUAAUAAUUAUUUGUUUAUUUUAAAAUUUUGUUUUUUUA